UGACAGGCUCUUUUCAGAGCCAUUAAUUGCUGUUUAUCUGGAGCUU
rfam:Ixodes scapularis strain Wikel colony gcontig_1108378538640, whole genome shotgun sequence.